rnacentral:rRNA from 1 species
GAGCGGAAAGGCCCUUCGGGGUACUCGAGCGGCGAACGGGUGAGUAACACGUGAGAAACCUGCCCUUAGCUCUGGGAUAGCUCCGGGAAACCGGGAUUAAUACCGGAUACGACCACUACCGGCCUCGGCAGUGGUGGAGAGAUUUAUCGGCUAGGGAUGGUCUCGCGGCCUAUCAGCUUGUUGGUGAGGUAACGGCUCACCAAGGCGACGACGGGUAGCCGGCCUGAGAGGGCGACCGGCCACACUGGGACUGAGACACGGCCCAGACUCCUACGGGAGGCAGCAGUGGGGAAUAUUGCGCAAUGGGCGAAAGCCUGACGCAGCAACGCCGCGUGCGGGAUGAAGGCCUUCGGGUUGUAAACCGCUUUCAGCAGGGACGAAGCGAAAGUGACGGUACCUGCAGAAGAAGCGCCGGCUAACUACGUGCCAGCAACCGCGGUAAU